rnacentral:rRNA from 1 species
CCAAUAGCGUAUAUUAAAGUUGUUGCAGUUAAAAAGCUCGUAGUUGAACUUCGGGGUUUACUCAUUGGUCAGGCUUAAUUGUCUGUACUGGUGAGAUGAAUCUCUACCUUCUGAGGAACUUUCAUGCCAUUUAUUUGGUGUGAUGGGAAAUCAGGACUGUUACUUUGAAAAAAUUAGAGUUUUUAAAGCAGGCUAACGUCUGAAUACAUUAGCAUGGAAUAAUGAAAUAGGACGGACUGAUUCUAUUUCGUUGGUUUCUAGGAUCACCGUAAUGAUUAAUAGGGAUAGUUGGGGGCAUUAGUAUUCAAUUGUCAGAGGUGAAAUUCUUGGAUUUAUUGAAGACUAACUACUGCGAAAGCAUUUGCCAAGGAUGUUUUCAUUAAUCAAGAACGAAAGUUAGGGGAUCGAAGACGAUCAGAUACCGUCGUAGUCUUAACCAUAAACUAUGCCGACUAGGGAUCGGACGAAGUUAAUUUUAUAAUGACGCGUUCGGCACCUUACG